rnacentral:lncRNA from 1 species
AUUAUAAAAGCCUUUUAUUAAUGAAUACCAAUUUUGAAAUCAGAGUUGCGGAAAACGUGCCAAUUUUUUUUUUCAACCUGGCCCACGUGGCGUACAGACCCACCACAAGUACAAAGUCUUCUGUCCACUCGGACAGAGUCUCCUUUAUAUUUGCACGGCGUACUAACCAUACAUCUGGAUCUCAACCACAACCUACAUUUACCAAUCAACAAUCAAUUCGUGCUAUGCAUUUUUAUACAGUUAGCGAUCCUUAGAAAUGAUGUAUGCUUCUAAACACUCCUUAAGCGCUGGAUGAUGCAAUGCACAAUACAACAAGCAUCCUAUUUAAAAGUGCUCCUUACCCGGAAGCUUUAUUUUUAAACUCUAAUUCAAUCAUUCACAAAAUCAUUCGAAAACCUUUUUAAAACUGUUUUUCAUACGAAAACUUCAUUUUGAAAAUCGACUACCUUGAGGGGUAGAAAACCACGGUGCGUAAAUCCAUAAAUACGAGAACCAAAUAACCAUAUGACCAAAACCACAAAUCCACAAAGCUCUAAUCUCAUGCAUCAUAAUAAAUCAUAAACUCAAGCAAGUUCACAACAUUC